rnacentral:rRNA from 1 species
CCUACGGGUGGCAGCAGUGAGGAAUAUUGGUCAAUGGGCGCGAGCCUGAACCAGCCAAGUAGCGUGAAGGAUGACUGCCCUACGGGUUGUAAACUUCUUUUGCCGGGGAGCAGUGGUCCGGACGCGUCCGGACCGGGAGAGUACCCGGAGAAAAAGCAUCGGCUAACUCCGUGCCAGCAGCCGCGGUAAUACGGAGGAUGCGAGCGUUAUCCGGAUAUAUUGGGUUUAAAGGGUGCGUAGGCGGGCAUUUAAGCCGGCGGUCAAAUGUCGGGGCUCAACCCCGGCCUGCCGUCGGAACUGGGUGCCUUGAGUGGGCGAGAAGUAUGCGGAAUGCGUGGUGUAGCGGUGAAAUGCGUAGAUAUUAGGAAGAACACCAGUGGCGAAGGCGGCUUGCUGGACAGUAACUGACGUUGAGGCUCGAAAGCGUGGGGAGCAAACAGGAUUAGAUACCCCUGUAGUC